rnacentral:rRNA from 1 species
AUUGAACGCUGGCGGCAGGCUUAACACAUGCAAGUCGAGCGGGGGAAGGUAGCUUGCUACCGGACCUAGCGGCGGACGGGUGAGUAAUGCUUAGGAAUCUGCCUAUUAGUGGGGGACAACAUCUCGAAAGGGAUGCUAAUACCGCAUACGUCCUACGGGAGAAAGCAGGGGAUCUUCGGACCUUGCGCUAAUAGAUGAGCCUAAGUCGGAUUAGCUAGUUGGUGGGGUAAAGGCCUACCAAGGCGACGAUCUGUAGCGGGUCUGAGAGGAUGAUCCGCCACACUGGGACUGAGACACGGCCCAGACUCCUACGGGAGGUAGCAGUGGGGAAUAUUGGACAAUGGGGGGAACCCUGAGCCAGCCAUGCCGCGUGUGUGAAGAAGGCCUUAUGGUUGUAAAGCACUUUAGGCGAGGAGGAGGCUACUUUAGUUAAUACCUAGAGAUAGUGGACGUUACUCGCAGAAUAAGCACCGGCUAACUCUGUGCCAGCCGCCGCGGUAA